UGGGGAGACAAUGGGCUUUGGGGGUGGGGGGGCACUCCGUGCAGAUCACUGCUGCAGCAGAGGCCUUGUGUGCCCUGCUCUGUGAACCCCCUGACCCUGGCUGUGGGGCUGAGAGAGAGGAGCAUGGGGGUCAGCCUUGGUAAUCACUCCUCACUUGUGGGCACAAAACUACUGCUGUAGACACUCAAGAGAGGCCAUCUUCAAGGCUCCGAAACAGCAAAGCUGCAGAGGAAUCGAGGACUUAAAGCUGUUUUGGAAUAUGCAACAAAUGAUCAGAGGGGACACGUGGUAUUUGCAUGGAAAACAGAACUUGCCCUAGGGAAAAGGACGACAAUCCCUUCACCUUUCAAUCAGCAGCAGAGGGAACCCAAACCUUUUAAACGUCUGUCACUCAUCCUUCCAUUAGGAUGCCCUCAGCCCAGAGCCUCGUUCACAGGGAGCGUUCAAGAAAUGAGAAUUCCUAUCUCCCUCACCAUUAUUAUUAAACUUAUUAGUACACAUUCAAUGCUGGGGCUGAAUAAAG
rnacentral:lncRNA from 1 species